UGAUAAACAUUUAAUACAUUCCUCUGCCCGUCUCCAAAGUUAAUCUGGCUUGAGGUAUCCAAAACAUGGCCCAUCUCCCUAUGGGGAAGAAGAAGCCAAUUACAGGUUGGAGAGGAGUGUGGAGAUCAGAUUUUUAUUUAAAAAAAAAAAAGAAAAGGAAAGUAAAGUUGAAAAAAUAAGUUAUCUCACUGGCUUGAUUCUUCUCCUUCCACACUGCAUCUGAUUCUAAGGAACAAGCACGGAAACAGGAGUAGGGAGACUUGGGCUCUAGUUCUGUUUUAGAGACAAUUACACAGUCACAGAAAUGUGCAUGAAGGAU
rnacentral:lncRNA from 1 species